GACAACAGAGGACAAGAUGAGUUGGACAGACAGCAGCAGCUCUGAGGACAUUUCCUCUGACUGGAUGAAGGUCCAACAUGUUGGACUGGUUCCAGUCUAAAUGUGUCCCAUGUCUCCACUGGUGUCUCUGCUGUGUCCAACCAGCAGCAGGUGGACAGAAUGUCCUCAGUGAGGACAGCAGGAAGCUGCAGACUGUCCCCAGCAGCAGAUGGACUCUGGUCCCAGUCUGUUCUGGACC